UGUAGAAAAGCAUAUUUCUACAACUUACAGUUUAGAGCACUGGGUAGCCUACAGCACUAGGGUCACUAGGGCAAGAGCCCAGGCCAGGGUCACACAGCUAGGAUGUGUGACACAGAAUUUGAACCCAGGUCUUUCUGAUGCCAAGGUCAGCUCUCUUUCUAUUACACUAUGGUGCGUCUCAUGAACGAAUAUACUGCUCAAGAACCGUGUGGGCAAACCUCUUCUUUCUCCAAGGAAUAUACUACUUCAGGAAAUGCCUUUCUCUAUCUAGGAGGUCUUACCACCAAUUUCUCUACCUUGAGAACUCUCCACUUUGGGGUUUCCAGCAAGGCAACAGCUGUGGUGAACCACCUCUUCUAAUACAUGUGCCCCCGAUUAACAUUCAUAACCAACUUU